CCUACGGGCGGCUGCAGUGGGGAAUAUUGCACAAUGGGCGCAAGCCUGAUGCAGCCAUGCCCCGUGUGUGAAGAAGGCCUUCGGGUUGUAAAGCACUUUCAGCGGGGCGGAAGGCGGUGAGGUUAAUAACCUCAUCGAUUGACGUUACCCGCAGAAGAAGCCCCGGCUAACUCCGUGCCAGCAGCCGCGGUAAUACGGAGGGUGCAAGCGUUAAUCGGAAUUACUGGGCGUAAAGCGCACGCAGGCGGUCUGUCAAGUCGGAUGUGAAAUCCCCGGGCUCAACCUGGGAACUGCAUUCGAAACUGGCAGGCUAGAGUCUUGUAGAGGGGGGUAGAAUUCCAGGGGUAGCGGUGAAAGGCGUAGAGAUCUGGAGGAAUACCGGUGGCGAAGGCGGCCCCCUGGACAAAGACUGACGCUCAGGUGCGAAAGCGUGGGGAGCAAACAGGAUUGAUACCCGAGUAGUC
rnacentral:rRNA from 1 species